GGUGAGGCUCUGGUGCGCGGGCGCUUAAGAAGAAAGAAAGAAUUAAGGGGGAGGAACAAGACAACACAGGUGGCAUAUCUGACGGCUUCCUACAGCUAUAUCGUGUGGUCGCGGUGUGACCGGCCCAAAUUUGGGCCGGUGCGCCGGCGCCUAACAGUGCCCUUCCACCAAAUCCCGCAACCACCGCGAGCCUGCAGCUGCCCUCCUUCAGUCCUCCAUCCUCUCGCGCCCCCUCCCGCACAGCUCCCUCCCUGUUUCCUCCUCAUCACCGUAGUCGCCGCAUUCCUCCCUCUUCCUCCUCCUUGUCACCACAACCGCUGGUCCCCUCGCUCCUCCCCCAUCCUCCCUUCCACUGCCGCACAAACCUUCCGGGUCGGGGCGAGGCAGAAGGUCGUGGCGAAUCUGGCGCCUGCAGGCAUACACAAUAGGAGUUGGUGGAGCGGCGGAUGCAGACGGGGUCGUUGACGGAGCUGCAGGAGCAAGGAGCUCGAGUUGGCUCAUGGCUUGCCUUUGCAUCUUCUUUCUCCCCCCUCCCUCACUCACGCCUCCCCUUUUUCUCAUGGGUGAGGGCUUCGGCUGCAGGUGCGCCAUGAGGAGUGGAAGGCCGAGUUCGUGCGACGACCAGAGCGACAGGAGCAAGGAGCCUCCUCUAUCUCCCUCUCAGUGGUUGAGGACUUCCUCAAGAAGAAAGAAGAAGGCCAAAUAGAAGAAGAAUUUGGCUCAAAGGUCUUGCAGAGGUCAACAGUCCGGUGAAAAAUCAAUGGGGUAUGGUGGCGGCUAGGGGGCGGAGUCGGCCAUGAGUCACCAGAGUCAAACCAUAGACAAAGCAGAUAUGUUCGGUUACAUAUUGAUAAUAGCAUAUUUUCUGGGCAACACACUUUUUUUCUUCUACUUGUUGUUUAUUAGUAGGCAACAAAUGGCUUUUAAAAGAAAAAGGUGGUGGACAGGUGGCGUUCAUGGCCACCUUGCAAUCCUACAUUUAGGACUUAGUGUUUAAAUUUGGUUUUGCACUAUCAUUUUCAUUUCUUCUGUAAGUUUUUUACCUUGUGUACUAAUGCAUGUUUUGUGCUUUUUUCAGAGUGCAUAAUGUCCCCUCAGGUUUGAAUUGCUCUGAAGUUAUCAGGGCAUUUCCUUAUAGGGCUUGUUCGCAUUUAUUCAUGGAAGGUGAACUACCUGUUUCAAGAUUGUAACCCACCUAAAAAAUCCCUUCUGCCUUCCUUUUUUUGUUUGUGUAUGUCGCUCUCUAAAGAUUGGUCAGCCUGACCAUGAAAGGGUGCUUCAGUUUAGAAAAGAAUGGUUUUUCUUUGUAUGAUUUUCAGGACAAAGGAGGCUGUGGAGGAACUCAUAAAUGCCGUGCUAAAUUAUUAAUUAGCCGUAUUCUUGAUUUUUCAUUUUUUAAAGAUAAUUGAGCACCAAGUCAUGUAGAGUUACUACCGUAUUAGUAUAUUUCUAACUGCAUGAUCGAAACUGUACAUUCAGAAAGUAUUGGCUGUUAUAUCAUUACUUUGUAAAUAAAUCACAUGUUAACUUCUUCUUUUUUUUUGCGGGAAAAUCACAUGUUAACUUGCUGGUUCAGUUUAAAGCUGCAGGCAGAGGCUUGCGGUAGGGAAAAAAAUAAUUUUGCCAGUUGAAAACCAAAGCGUUUAUUUGUGACUGUAUAAUCUGGACUACACUUUUAUGAAAGUAUGUUAGGCUCCUGCACUUGGGAGAUUAAGAGUUGUUGUGGUUUUUCUUGGUCCAGUGCCCCGAAGGGAGCUCACGUGCUAUGGUUAGUUCACGUGCUAAAAAACCAAUCUUUGAGAAAAUAGCAUGCUCAUUUUAGUUAUAUUGAUUAAUAGCAUCUCUAUGUUAUUAGAUACUCCCUCCGUUCUUUUUCAACUACUUAGAUCAUAUUUGAUUCCAAUGCUUGCUUUCAUAUCAUUGGUUUGUCCAAAGUUUAUGUUCAGAGAUUAUGCAUCAAAGAUAUGUUGGAUAUCCUACAAAAGAGUGAGAUGAUCGCUCAAUUCUAGCUUAUCUGCUUUACCUAAUAUAUAAAUUUUUUAUUUUUCUUUAUUUAGAUCACCUGAGUUUUAGGCAGUGAGUACUAGAAAGCAUUAUCACAUUUCAGUGCAUUUUCGUACUUUGCGAAGCAUUUCAGUUUUAUGGAUACGGGCAUUCAGUUGAGAACUGAGAACAAUUUUGUUUGACUUUUUCAGAUGAUAAUUUUUACCGGUUAUAGUUACAAUUACUAGAAGUAGCAAAGGUCUGGGUUAAUUUAGAGCUUGAGUUGGCAGCUAUGCUUUUUUGCGUUCUAGAUUAUGCAAAGAGAUUGCCAUGUUUUCUUUUAUUUCGGUUUAGUUCAUUCCCUUAUAUAUCCAGUUGUUUUCCGCAGAACAAAUAUAAAUGUUCAUGUUGUAAUGGAUGGAUAUGUUGAUGGCAUCGUCAUGUCAUGUAAAUUACAUGCAGAACAAAUCUAUAUUUUUGUUGGGACUAAAAGUGAAAACGAUAUUUGGGACCAAAACUUUUCAAAUAGCUCUGAAUAUGAAUUGGGACCCUGUGCUGUUUGGGGUGGAGCUGCAGGGAGUGAGAGGCGGAUAACAAUAGGGCGAAGAAGCAUGCCAUCGAGGAGUGCAAGCAGCGGCGCUCCUUCGCAAUGGGGUGUGGCUGCGGGGGAGGGAAGGCGGCCAACGACGGGGAGAAUGAGCAGGUCGUCGAGGAGUGCAAGCAGCAGGGUAAGAUGUGUAUUUUUUCAGACGAUCUUGAUUGUUUUGCAACAUGUAUUGCAUUUCCAUGGAUAAUCAUUUUUCUUAUUUAUUAUUUCCCAUGUUUGCUGAAGAUUAAUUUAGGCCCAUACAGUUUCUGUUGACUGGAAGUCUGAAACUGAAGAUAGGGCAUAUUGUUUUGGUUCCGAGUGGUUGGGGAUAUUGUGGAUUGAUGUCCCUAGAGCAGCUAGACCCUUCCAAGAGCAGCCUGAUUUCUUCUGCAACUCUUCCACCACAGUACAUGAAAAGGAAUAUGUUCUACCUAUCAGCACCAUUUCUUGAGGAGAAUUGUCCCUUUAUUUUGUCACACUUUGGUGUCCUUGAGUUCAGAAUAGAUUCACCUUUACUCUGAUUUUCUUUAUAUAUUCCCAGGUGCUAAAAUCCUAGGUAUCAAGGGCAUUGUGGUGGCGCGAUCAAUGUCUAUUGUGAUCGCUCGGCAUGGCGUCCAUAGCCCAUUGUGCUGCAUUCUUUGUUUUACGGAAAAUAUGUUCUUGCUUGAGGGUGAAUAUGUUCAUGAUUCAUAAUCAUUGUAUCUGAUUCAUAAGAAACAGUGAGAUGCUUUGUUAUGAGUUACGGUAUAGGCUUUGUAAAUUGUGCAUGCAAUUUGUUGAUGGUUAGGCUUCGAGCUCCA